rnacentral:rRNA from 1 species
CGCGUAGGCGGUUCGUACAGUUGGAUGUGAAAUUCCUGGGCUCAACCUGGGGGCUGCAUUCAAUACGUGCGGGCUUGAGUUCGGAAGAGGGUCGUGGAAUUCCCAGUGUAGAGGUGAAAUUCGUAGAUAUUGGGAAGAACACCGGUGGCGAAGGCGGCGACCUGGUCCGAUACUGACGCUGGGGCGCGAAAGCGUGGGGAGCAAACAGGAUUAGAUACCCUGGUAGUCCACGCUGUAAACGAUGUGUGCUGGAUGUUGGGUGACCUAGUCACUCAGUGUCGUAGCUAACGCGAUAAGCACACCGCCUGGGGAGUACGGCCGCAAGGUUGAA